CUGGGCGUUAAGUUGCAGGGUAUAGACCCGAAACCCGGUGAUCUAGCCAUGGGCAGGUUGAAGGUUGGGUAACACUAACUGGAGGACCGAACCGACUAAUGUUGAAAAAUUAGCGGAUGACUUGUGGCUGGGGGUGAAAGGCCAAUCAAACCGGGAGAUAGCUGGUUCUCCCCGAAAGCUAUUUAGGUAGCGCCUCGUGAAUUCAUCUCCGGGGGUAGAGCACUGUUUCGGCAAGGGGGUCAUCCCGACUUACCAACCCGAUGCAAACUGCGAAUACCGGAGAAUGUUAUCACGGGAGACACACGGCGGGUGCUAACGUCCGUCGUGAAGAGGGAAACAACCCAGACCGCCAGCUAAGGUCCCAAAGUCAUGGUUAAGUGGGAAACGAUGUGGGAAGGCCCAGACAGCCAGGAUGUUGGCUUAGAAGCAGCCAUCAUUUAAAGAAAGCGUAAUAGCUCACUGGUCGAGUCGGCCUGCGCGGAAGAUGUAACGGGGCUAAACCAUGCACCGAAGCUGCGGCAGCGACGCUGAUGCGUUGUUGGGUAGGGGAGCGUUCUGUAAGCCUGUGAAGGUGUGCUGUGAGGCAUGCUGGAGGUAUCAGAAGUGCGAAUGCUGACAUAAGUAACGAUAAAGCGGGUGAAAAGCCCGCUCGCCGGAAGACCAAGGGUUCCUGUCCAACGUUAAUCGGGGCAGGGUGAGUCGACCCCUAAGGCGAGGCCGAAAGGCGUAGUCGAUGGGAAACAGGUUAAUAUUCCUGUACUUGGUGUUACUGCGAAGGGGGGACGGAGAAGGCUAUGUUGGCCGGGCGACGGUUGUCCCGGUUUAAGCGUGUAGGCUGGUUUUCCAGGCAAAUCCGGAAAAUCAAGGCUGAGGCGUGAUGACGAGGCACUACGGUGCUGAAGCAACAAAUGCCCUGCUUCCAGGAAAAGCCUCUAAGCAUCAGGUAACAUCAAAUCGUACCCCAAACCGACACAGGUGGUCAGGUAGAGAAUACCAAGGCGCUUGAGAGAACUCGGGUGAAGGAACUAGGCAAAAUGGUGCCGUAACUUCGGGAGAAGGCACGCUGAUAUGUAGGUGAAGUCCCUCGCGGAUGGAGCUGAAAUCAGUCGAAGAUACCAGCUGGCUGCAACUGUUUAUUAAAAACACAGCACUGUGCAAACACGAAAGUGGACGUAUACGGUGUGACGCCUGCCCGGUGCCGGAAGGUUAAUUGAUGGGGUCAGCGCAAGCGAAGCUCUUGAUCGAAGCCCCGGUAAACGGCGGCCGUAACUAUAACGGUCCUAAGGUAGCGAAAUUCCUUGUCGGGUAAGUUCCGACCUGCACGAAUGGCGUAAUGAUGGCCAGGCUGUCUCCACCCGAGACUCAGUGAAAUUGAACUCGCUGUGAAGAUGCAGUGUACCCGCGGCAAGACGGAAAGACCCCGUGAACCUUUACUAUAGCUUGACACUGAACAUUGAGCCUUGAUGUGUAGGAUAGGUGGGAGGCUUUGAAGUGUGGACGCCAGUCUGCAUGGAGCCGGCCUUGAAAUACCACCCUUUAAUGUUUGAUGUUCUAACGUUGACCCGUUAUCCGGGUUGCGGACAGUGUCUGGUGGGUAGUUUGACUGGGGCGGUCUCCUCCUAAAGAGUAACGGAGGAGCACGAAGGUUGGCUAAUCCUGGUCGGACAUCAGGAGGUUAGUGCAAUGGCAUAAGCCAGCUUGACUGCGAGCGUGACGGCGCGAGCAGGUGCGAAAGCAGGUCAUAGUGAUCCGGUGGUUCUGAAUGGAAGGGCCAUCGCUCAACGGAUAAAAGGUACUCCGGGGAUAACAGGCUGAUACCGCCCAAGAGUUCAUAUCGACGGCGGUGUUUGGCACCUCGAUGUCGGCUCAUCACAUCCUGGGGCUGAAGUAGGUCCCAAGGGUAUGGCUGUUCGCCAUUUAAAGUGGUACGCGAGCUGGGUUUAGAACGUCGUGAGACAGUUCGGUCCCUAUCUGCCGUGGGCGCUGGAGAACUGAGGGGGGCUGCUCCUAGUACGAGAGGACCGGAGUGGACGCAUCACUGGUGUUCGGGUUGUCAUGCCAAUGGCACUGCCCGGUAGCUAAAUGCGGAAGAGAUAAGUGCUGAAAGCAUCUAAGCACGAAACUUGCCCCGAGAUGAGUUCUCCCUGACUCCUUGAGAGUCCUGAAGGAACGUUGAAGACGACGACGUUGAUAGGCCGGGUGUGUAAGCGCAGCGAUGCGUUGAGCUAACCGGUACUAAUGAACCGUGAGG
rnacentral:rRNA from 1 species